ACGAACGCUGGCGGCGUGCCUAAUACAUGCCAGUAGAACGCUGAAGAGAGGAGCUUACUCUUCUUGGAUGAGUUGCGAACGGGUGAGUAACGCGUAGGUAACCUGCCUUGUAGCGGGGGAUAACUAUUGGAAACGAUAGCUAAUACCGCAUAACAAUGGAUGACACAUGUCAUUUAUUUGAAAGGGGCAAUUGCUCCACUACAAGAUGGACCUGCGCUGUAUUAGCUAGUAGGUGAGGUAAUGGCUCACCUAGGCGACGAUACAUAGCCGACCUGAGAGGGUGAUCGGCCACACUGGGACUGAGACACGGCCCAGACUCCUACGGGAGGCAGCAGUAGGGAAUCUUCGGCAAUGGGGGCAACCCUGACCGAGCAACGCCGCGUGAGUGAAGAAGGUUUUCGGAUCGUAAAGCUCUGUUGUAAGUCAAGAACGGGUGUGAGAGUGGAAAGUUCACACUGUGACGGUAGCUUACCAGAAAGGGACGGCUAACUACGUG
rnacentral:rRNA from 1 species